rnacentral:lncRNA from 12 species
GGCAGCCUGGAACGAGGGUGUGCCCAGAGUCCCUGGCAAGGGAUGAGCACAGCGCCGCAGUGUCUGCUGGUACUGUGCCUUUCAGGGCGUGAAGGAGUUAAAGUUUUCAGAUGGAAAGCGGACUGAAGAUCCGAGCAGCAGCCUGGUGACCUCCCGCCGCUGGGACAGCCGCAGGCGCGGCGCAGCCCGCAGUUCCCGCAUCCAUCGCUCGGCGCGGCCCGGGAGCAGCGCACGGUGCUGCAGUUUGUGACCGCGUCUGGCCUUGAUCUUCUCAGCAGCAGAUCAGGAUCCCAAAGCCCUUCACUGCAAGACACCUGCACCUUGCAGUGUGGCAGCCUUGAUGUAAAUAGGUAGACACGUACACACUUCACUUGAAUCAGCAGAGCAGCUCCCGGUAGCAAAGCCAAGACCGUAAGUGCAUGCUGGAUUGGACCCAAGGGUGAGCAGGGUGGGCACAGGCUCCCCUUGGGAAAGGAGCACGCAGGGACACCUCACGGCAGCUUUCAGGGGACCAGUAAAUGUCAUGAGAUGUCUCGGCGACCUGCAAAAUUCAGUAUGCUGCAAGGCAGCUGGAGUAGUUUU